rnacentral:rRNA from 1 species
AACGAACGCUGGCGGCAUGCCUAACACAUGCAAGUCGAACGAAGGCUUCGGCCUUAGUGGCGCACGGGUGCGUAACGCGUGGGAAUCUGCCCUUUGCUUCGGAAUAACAGUUAGAAAUGACUGCUAAUACCGGAUGAUGUCGCAAGACCAAAGAUUUAUCGGCAAAGGAUGAGCCCGCGUAGGAUUAGCUUGUUGGUAGGGUAAAGGCCUACCAAGGCGACGAUCCUUAGCUGGUCUGAGAGGAUGAUCAGCCACACUGGGACUAAGACGCGGCCCAGACUCCUACGGGAGGCAGCAGUGGGGGAUAUUGGACAAUGGGCGGAAGCCUGAUCCAGCAAUGCCGCGUGAGUGAUGAAGGCCUUAGGGUUGUAAAGCUCUUUUACCCGGGAUGAUAAUGACGGUACCGGGAGAAUAAGCUCCGGCUAACUCCGUG